AUUUAGUGUAAAUUGAUUUGAAUAACGAAAUUAAAUAAACUAUUUGAAUAUUUUUGUCCUUCUUUCUUUAGUUUAUUUCAUUUUUUUGUUUUUUUGUAGGUAGGAUUAAUAACUAGCUAUGCUUUGUCGGUCAAUGUUAUGUUUGAAUGAGGCAGUGCACAAACUACAAUCAAAAUUGAUCAAAUUUGACAUUUAUUUGCAAAUUAAUGGUCAAACAAACUUUUAUAGGGGCUUCUAAAUUGUGAGAAAUCAAAAGCAAAAGAGUAACUCCAAUUAAGGAUUAAAAAAAAUAUUUUAUUUUGUAGGAUAAAUUUAAUUAAU
rnacentral:lncRNA from 1 species